rnacentral:rRNA from 1 species
AACACAUGCAAGUCGAGGGGCAGCAUAAAAGUAGCAAUACUUUGGUGGCGACCGGCGCACGGGUGAGUAACGCGUAUGCAACCUACCUAUCAGAGGGGGAUAACCCGGCGAAAGUCGGACUAAUACCGCAUAAAACAGGGGCACCGCAUGGUGAUAUUUGUUAAAGAUUAAUUGCUGAUAGAUGGGCAUGCGUUCCAUUAGGUAGUUGGUGAGGUAACGGCUCACCAAGCCGACGAUGGAUAGGGGAACUGAGAGGUUGGUCCCCCACACUGGUACUGAGACACGGACCAGACUCCUACGGGAGGCAGCAGUGAGGAAUAUUGGUCAAUGGGCGAGAGCCUGAACCAGCCAAGUCGCGUGAAGGAAGAAGGAUCUAUGGUUCGUAAACUUCUUUUGCAGGGGAAUAAAGUGCAGGACGUGUCCUGUUUUGUAUGUACCCUGAGAAUAAGGAUCGGCUAACUCCGUGCCAGCAGCCGCGGUAAUACGGAGGAUCCGAGCGUUAUCCGGAUUUAUUGGGUUUAAAGGGUGCGUAGGUGGUUUAAUAAGUCAGCGGUGAAAGUUUGCAGCUUAACUGUAAAAAUGCCGUUGAAACUGUUAGACUUGAGUGUAAAUGAGGUAGGCGGAAUGCGUGGUGUAGCGGUGAAAUGCUUAGAUAUCA